rnacentral:lncRNA from 1 species
AUAACAUCCAAUAUAACAUUGUUUCUUUUAAGAUAAAAUCAUUAUUCAUUAACAAUAAAAAUCAUCAUGCUCAAGUGAAGCAAAAACUGAGGAGGUUCAUGAACAAUAUCUAUCUUUCAGAAGCCCUUGUUCAUCUCUAGCUAAGCUAUGUAUUAUUCUUAUUAUACAUUUGAAUCCAACUAAGAUAGGAAAUAAAAUGCAAAAUGAAAGCUUAAACAUCCUUAAGUAUAAACCUAAACUCAGAAAAAAAUUCAUGAAGUAUGAAAUUUAUACUUGGUA